rnacentral:rRNA from 1 species
CUGUGUGGCCAAACCUCCUUGUUAAAGCCUGAUCUUGUCAGAUCUCAGAAGCUAAGCCUGGUUAGUACUUGGAUGGGAGACCUCUGGGAAUUCCAGAUACCACAGUGG